GUUUCUCUCGCUCUACGGGAGUGCUUUCUCUGGCUUUACCUGUGAUGCAACACACCCACACACACAAUCAAUUUGCCUCUCGAUUCACUCGCCACUCUCUCUACAAAACCUUUGCUCUUCUCGGUGCGCCGUCGUCCAGCAGCUUCUCAGCCACUUCUCCUGCGUAUAGGGUGCGGACGGCUUCUUCUUGCAAUCGUCUCCGUGACGGUCACAAGCACUUCAGGAAGUACACACACACAUAUAUAUAUAUAUAUAUAAUUGGGCUCUGCCCCACAUUAGCUUGGGAGCUUCUGCACACUUACCGUGGAACGCGCGCACACACUGCGUUAGGAUGACGGCUACGGAGUACCACAAGCUGAUCGCCGAGCGCCUCCUUUCCCCGGAGGAGGAGGAGAACCUCGUGCAGCGCCUGUACUACCGGCAGAUGAAGCUGACGGAGCAGCGCGAGGAGGAGCGCCGCGCCACCCUGGAGCGGACACGCGCACAGAUGCAGAAGCACAUUUCGAAGGAUGAGGAGGGCCGCCUGGUAAGCCGCAUGUACGAUCAACAGGUGGCGCGCUUUGCCAACUCCAGAGCUGAGCGAGAUCGCAAGUUGGCGGAGGAGAUGCACAAGAAUGAUAAGAAGAUGGACUCCAGCGAGAUCGAUGACCAGGUGCGCCGCAUCUACGAGGAGGAGCGCAAGAGGAGCCAGGCGCGGCGCGAGGAGCUUUACGCGCGCUACAUGCCCACCGCAGAGGCAAAGAGGAUUGGCAAGAAGGAGCUGAAGGGGUGCGUGGAGCGCCUUUCGCACGUGGACUGGGAGAAGCGCGACGAGGAGCUUUUCGAGAAGUACGUCUAUCCGUACGACCCAAAGACGACGAAGAUCUCCCGCGACGACGAGCAGGCGAUGGCGAACCGCCUCUCAACGACGAAGGGGGCGGGCUAAGCUGCCCUACUACUGCCACUACCCCCUUUGAUGACUGUUGUGAGGCACAUAUGCUUACACAAAUAUUUGGCGGAGGUGCGCGCGAGCACGAACCCCACACGGCACGCAACGCCUUUUUUUAGUAUCUCGGGUUUUAGAAAUUCCCGCUUGCACCUGCAGGUGCACGAAAGUGUGGUGGACGAAGCGCGCCGACGUCGAGAGCUUGGGGAGGGGAGGGGAAGGCGAGACCUGCGGUUGCCGAAGAAGCUCUGCGCUGUUGUAUAUGUAUGUACAUAUAUAUAUAUAUAUUGAACCUUGUCUUUGACUUGAUACACUGCCUUCUUAUUCACCCCCUCCUGUGUGCGCUUUCCUGCCCCCCUUCUCCGCUGUGCUUGCCGUCGUCUUGUCGCGUGCUCAAGGGCGGCCGUCUCCUUUCCCUUCUUUUGUCCUUUGCCUCAUCUCUCUGUGAGUGUCCGCUCCUUGCUGGUUCUUGGAAUGGGUGUGUCUCUGUGUGUGUGUGUGUCUGUUGUGGAGGUGUGGUGGCUGUUGUUGUCAUUUUCUGCCCGAUAUCCCUGGUACCCCCUCCCCUUUUCCCAACGGAAGGCAGCAACAACAGAACUGCGAUGUAAAGCGUGUACAACUGUUGCAGCAUGUCUCUCUUCCUCUUUCUUUCUUUUUUCCUUCCCUGCUCAGGUGAAGUGAAUCGGCUCACUUUCUCCGUGGGUGCGGGCGCAUCUCCAAGUUUCAGUGCGCCAGGUAGUGCAGGGAGGGCUGAAGAGAUGUGUGAUGCUUCGCUCAUUACGGCCCCCACCACGGUCUCGUGAGAGUCGUCACGUACCUGACCAAUAGCAGGCGACACCGCGCAUGAG
rnacentral:misc_RNA from 1 species